rnacentral:rRNA from 1 species
GUGGGGGAUAUUGCACAAUGGAGGAAACUCUGAUGCAGCGACGCCGCGUGAGUGAAGAAGUAUUUCGGUAUGUAAAGCUCUAUCAGCAGGGAAGAUAAUGACAGUACCUGACUAAGAAGCCCCGGCUAACUACGUGCCAGCAGCCGCGGUAAUACGUAGGGGGCAAGCGUUAUCCGGAUUUACUGGGUGUAAAGGGAGCGUAGACGGAAUGGCAAGUCUGAAGUGAAAUCCUGCGGCUUAACUGCAGAAUUGCUUUGGAAACUGUCAAUCUGGAGUGUCGGAGAGGUAAGCGGAAUUCCUGGUGUAGCGGUGAAAUGCGUAGAUAUCAGGAAGAACACCGGAGGCGAAGGCGGCUUACUGGACAAUAACUGACGUUGAGGCUCGAAAGCGUGGGAAGCAAACAGGAUUAGAUACCCCGGUAGUCC